rnacentral:rRNA from 1 species
UACGUAGGGGGCGAGCGUUGUCCGGAUUCAUUGGGCGUAAAGCGCGCGUAGGCGGCUUCGCAAGUCGGCCGUGAAAUCUCCCGGCUCAACUGGGAGGGGUCGGGCGAGACUGCGAGGCUCGAGGUGGGCAGAGGGCAGUGGAAUUCCGGGUGUAGUGGUGGAAUGCGUAGAGCUCCGGAGGAACACCAGUGGCGAAGGCGGCUGCCUGGGCCUGGCCUGACGCUGAGGCGCGAAAGCGUGGGGAGCGAACAGG